UUUCUAUUGGUAGAAGGUCAAAUGACUCCGCGUGUUGUGUGUUUACGUUGAGUGCAUGACAGGCGAAUGACAGAGACAACGUUUCUAACACCGAUGAUGUUUCUUCCACGAUCGCUUCAUGUCGCUCUGAAAGUUUGAAAAGAUAACUUCAACUGUGGACCACCUUGAAAACUCAGAGAAAGAGAAGAAAGACACUACUGGCAUCAUGUUCAGCACCAAAAGACUGAAAAAGAAGUCUCAAUCAGUGGACAUUGCCAGCCAAGGCUUCUCCCCAACUCUGGUGCCAGCCUCGCCCCUCAACAGAGCUGCAUCACCUGUUGCCAAGACAACCACCGUCCUCGCGGUGCAGGAAAAUAACACCACUAAUUCCCAGCGCCGCAGCCCACGUUGUGGCGAACUGAAGAGAGGCUAUA